ACGCGGAGCGUGUAACCAUGGAAGAAGCAGGCCAAGAUUCAAUGACCUUUAUUGAGCCACAUGCAAGGUUAGCUGAACAGCAUGAAUUCAAGUUUUACCAAAUUGUAUUUAAAAGUUGAUAUCUUCAUCAUCCUGUACCUGAGCCUGGGGUCUCUGAAGCAUCCUCAUGUACCUCAACUUGAACUAGAUGGACACUGCCCAUUUACUGGGACUAGAGGAGAUGACCACCCAUUUUGAUCUCUGGAUAAAGAAGAGGAAGAAUGUAUUGAAUGAAAGCAAAAACAAGUUCAUUCACUGAACCUGAAGCUCCAUGAUUUUGCUAGAUUUAACUGGGGAGCAAUCACUAACAGAAUUCCGUGUCACUCUGAAUAGCACUCGAACUUCAGGCAUUGGAUUCCAGGCCUUGGACACAGUAGGAAUCUGCUGUAUCAAUGAAGGAUGUGUCCAGUCAUUGGCUUCCUGAGACAUAGUCUGAUUAUGUCAUUCAAACUACCCUACAUCUCAUGGUCUGUUUGCCUGUGACUUCCAAGUAAUAAGAUCACAGGUGUGCUCCUCAUAAGUGUUUUAAAAAGACACAUUUCAAACACUUGAAAAAAAGUUUUCACUGUUGUUAAGCAGAUGAAAAAAAUUGAAAUUAUAGAUCUUGUGAAAUGAUUCAUAAAUGCUUGAAAACUUGUGUUCUCGGAAAGUUUCAAGGCUCUUAAAAUCAUUUAGAAUUUGCAGAAAAAAGAAAAUGCUUUGGCAAUAGUCUUUCAAAAAGAGCAUACACAUACAUGUAAAAUGUCUCAAGGAAAAGAUGUACAGAAAAGAAAUGAAUAAAACAUGUACAACUUAUGACAGACCCAGUGUCUGGUCAGUAGUGUUUGAUAGAACACCUACUUCAAUGCCCAUCAAACAAAGAAAGCUUCCAUCCUGGUUGCUACCAUAUACCAUAUCUGCAUCCUCUGCAUUCAUCAGGAUGUCUGUCAAUGUGCCUCUCUUCCAAACCACCAAUGUGAAAAUAUGAAUUAAUAGAUAAACUUGAACCUCAGGGUUUAUAAUGAGUGGGCACAUACAUGUCAGCAGUGACAGCUCACUGUCUGCAGGCUCACCUCAUGCAGGAUUUAACACUAUUAAAGUUAUUUUUUCAAGAAGUGUGUGAUGCAUAAAAUGUAAAUAAAUCAUAAACAUUUAAAAAUU
rnacentral:lncRNA from 1 species